AGGUUACUGUUGUGAUAAAAGAUUUUGCAUUCAACAAAAACAGUGGUUCUCAACCUGUGGGUCAGGACCCCUUUGGGGGUCAAACGACCCUUUCACAGGGGUUGCCUAAGACCACCGGAAAACACAUAUUUUCGAUGGUCUUAGGAACCGAGCCAUAAUUUUAUGGUUGGGGAUCACCACAACAUGGGGAACUGUAUUAAAGGGUCGUGGCAUUAGGAAGGUUGAGAACCAUUGGU